rnacentral:rRNA from 1 species
AGAUUAAGCCAUGCAUGUCUAAGGAUAAACAAUUUUUUCCGUAAACCUGCGAACGGCUCAUUAAAUCAGUUUAAAUCUACUCUGCUAAUACCUUUAAAUGGAUAACUGCAGUAAUUCUGGAGCUAAUACAUGCUAAAAACCUGAACUCUACGGAACAGGUGUAAUUAUUUGACUUAGAAACCAAUAGUAGCAAUACUCUUAAAAAUGAAUUAAAAUAACUUUAUGAAUCGCAUUAAUUUUUGUGAUGGCACGAAUGAUAUUCUGCCCUAUCAACUUUCGAUGGUAGUAUAGGGGACUACCAUGGUGAUGACGGGUAACGGAGAAUUUGGGUUUGAUUCCGGAGAAAAGGCCUGAGAGACGGCCAUUACUUCCAAGGAAGGCAGCAGGCGCGUAAAUUACCCAAUCCCAAUUUGGGGAGGUAGUGACGAGAAAUACUAGUAUUGGCCCCAAUGGGGACAAUGAUUGGAAUGAAAACAAUGUAAAUACAUUAAUGACUAACAAUUGGAGGGCAAGUCUGGUGAACUUUUUGAACGCUUAAUUUAGGGAUGUUUGUAGUCCAUCUCUGAUGCUGGCGCCAGAAAUAGGGGGGCCCUAAAUACCUCUAGUCGAUGUUUUAAUUUGUUGGGCAAGGGCCCUAUGUCAGGACAAAUAAGAGAAGCUUGGAGAGUCUUUCUCGACCUAAAGGAAACAAGUAAAAUCUGAAGAACGCGGCGACAUGACCUGGAACGAGAGAGGCCUGAUCGAAGACCAUUUUUAGGAAUUUGAUAGAAGGGUUAAUCGCGUGGUGAGUUGCUUAACGAACAACCAUUGUAGAGCGCGGAAAGGUGUGGGUGAUUUUGAUAUGAUGAAUGUAAAAUAAGGAAUUGCUUAAGGAUCGUGCCAAUCCCUGUUGUAAAACAGGCCCAUCUCAUAAGCGCUGACACGUAAGGGGGAAUGGGGACUGAAGGAACAAAAUGUUCGUCUCAGUAUAAAUUAAAUGAAAAUUGAAAAUGUGUAAUUUGGAUGAAUCGAUAGAGGCCAGCAGCCGCGGUAAUUCCAGCUCCAAUAGUGUAUACUAAAGUUGUUGCGUUUAAAAAGCUCGUAGUUGAAUUUCGAAAUUUGAACUUGAAUUGCAAUUUAUUGUAAUAAGAGAUACAUACUUCUUCUUAAGGGGCUUAGGCCUACUUAAAAUUUACUGUGAAAAAAUUAGAGUGUUAAAAGCAAGCAAAUGCUUGAAUAUUUCAGCAUGGGAUAAUAAAAGAUGACAGAAGUCAAUAUUUGUUGGUUUCUUUGGCUAAUGUAAUGAUUAAAAGGGACAGUUGGGGCAACUUGUAUUGGCUCGCUAGGGGUGAAAUCCUAUGAUUGAGUCAAGACAAACUACUGCGAAAGCAUUUUGCAAGGAUGUUUUCAUUAAUCAAGAACGAAAGUUGUAGGAUCGAAGAUGAUUAGAUACCGUCGUAGUUACAACCAUAAACAAUGUCGACUCAGGAUUGAUAGAUAUUAAAUGGAUGAUUCUGUCAGCACUGUGUGAGAAAUCAAAGUAUCCAGACUCCGGGGGGAGUAUGGUCGCAAGACUGAAACUUAAAGGAAUUGACGGAAGGGCACCACCAGGAGUGGAAUCUGCGGCUUAAUUUGACUCAACACGGGGAAACUUACCGGGUCCGGACUCAGCGAGGAUUGACAGAUUGAUAGCUCUUUCUUAAUUUUGAGGAUGGUGGUGCAUGGCCGUUUUUAGUUGGUGGAUUGAUUUGUCUGGUUAAUUCCGAAAACGAACGAGACCUUAACCUAUUAAAUAGUAUCAGUAAACUAGAAUGCAAAUUUGUGAUUUAAAUGAAUAAUCUUCUUAAAGGGACUCUUCAUAUUUUAGUGAAGGGAAGUUUAAGGCAAAAACAGGUCUGUGAUGCCCUUCGAUGUUCCGGGCUGCACGCGCGUUACACUGAAAUGUUCAAUGAGUUUUUAAAUUCCUUGUCUGAAAAGACUGGGCAAACUUACCAAAGCAUUUCGUGAUUGGGAUUGUGCCUUGUAAUUAUUGCACAUAAACAUGGAAUUCCUAGUAGGCGUAAGUCAUCAACUUACAUCGAUUACGUCCCCGCCCUUUGUACACACCGCCCGUCGCUGCUACAGAUCGAAUGAUCCGAUGAGGACUCAGGAUUGGAUUUCUUUUGUUGGCUGAAAGGUUAGCAAUUGGAGUUUGAGAAUUUGUUCAAAUCUUAUUAUUUAGAUGAAGCAGAAGUCGUAAACAAGGUA